AUGGCAUCGGUUUUGAAGCUUGUGCUUCUCCUGCUGUGCGCCUACCACACCCUCGUUGCUCACGCAGUAGAUGAUCUUCGCAGCUACUACAUGGUUCUGCCCGCUGGCUCUCUGAAAUCUGCCACCGUCAACUGCACCGAUCACAAAGCAGCGAGUUCACCAUCCGGCGGCGGCGUCAGGGUGCCGUUGCACCACCGGCACGGCCCAUGCCCCCCUGCCUCCUCCACGAAGGCGCCGACCUUGGAGGAGAUGCUCUGGCGUGACCAGCUCCGAGCUAACCACAUCAGGCGGAGGUUCUCUGGCGUCAAGGGUGGCGGCCUGGAGCAAUCGGACGUAACCGUGCCUACCACGCCGGGCCUCUCCCUGGGCACGUUGCAGUACGUGAUCACUGUCCGCAUCGGCUCGCCGGCCGUGAACCAGACCAUGUUCAUCGACACCGGCAGCGACGUGUCAUGGGUGCAGUGCAAGCCGUGCUCGCAGUACCACUCGCAGGCGGACCCGCUCUUUGACCCCAGAUCGUCGAGCACCUACUCUCCGUUCUCCUGCACCUCGGUCGCCUGCGCGCAGCUCCGCCAGAGCCAGCAGGCGAACGGCUGCUCCAGCUCCCAGUGCCAGUACAUUGUCAAGUACGGCGAUGGCUCGAGUACCACCGGGACCUAUAGCUCCGACAUGCUCGCGCUGGGCUCCAACGCCGUGAGCAACUUCCAAUUCGGGUGCAGCAAGUCUGAGUCGGGCCUCCUUCUCAACGACCAGACCGCUGGGCUCAUCGGGCUCGGCGGCGGCGCUCAGUCGCUCGCCACACAGACCGCGGGGACCUUCGGCAAGGCCCGGAUCUCGCGAAUAUAUCGAUUCCAGCCAACGAUGACACUAUGA
rnacentral:rRNA from 1 species